UACAGAGGUCCCAAGCGUUGUUCGGAUUCAUUGGGCGUAAAGGGUGCGUAGGCGGCGCGGUAAGUCGGGUGUGAAAUCUCGGAGCUUAACUCCGAUACUGCAUUCGAUACUGCCGUGCUUGAGGACUGGAGAGGAGACUGGAAUUUACGGUGUAGCGGUGAAAUGCGUAGAUAUCGUAAGGAAGACCAGUGGCGAAGGCGGGUCUCUGGACAGUUCCUGACGCUGAGGCACGAAGGUCAGGGGAGCAAACGGG
rnacentral:rRNA from 1 species